rnacentral:misc_RNA from 1 species
ACACACGCGCGCGCGCGCGCGCGCGCAUAUAAACAGCACAGCUUUAUGUAGAGCUUAGAAAAUUCUAUGCAAGAAUAACUUCUGAUUUAGGGAAGCUAACUUGUGCAACAAAGAAAAUUCAAUCCUUGCAAAACAUAAGAACAAAACAUAUCGUGCUCAAUUAUAAAGUAAGUGUAUACCUGCGCUAAUAAAGUAUCCCAA